UCUCGUUGAUAUAGUCCAUCAUCGAAUAGAUGCUUCCUGAAAGAACAACCUGUUCAGGAAAAUUAAAGUUCACAUAUUAGUGAGUGAUAAAUAUAUAUAUAGUAUCUAACAAAGACUGCUAAGUGCUAACAAAUGUGUUCAUGGCAAACAAGAUGACGAAUAUCUACUACAACCAAAUAGGUGUGACUUCAAAUAAUUGGAUAAAAGAAAAACAGAAACAAAAACCAAGCGAUCCGUCAAAGUUUAUAAAAAGGGUGAGCCUUUGUUUUGAUAAAAGUCAGCAAAGAAGAAAGAAAAUAGAGAAAUGGGGAGAGCUCCCUGUUGUGACAAAGCAAAUGUGAAGAAAUGGCCAUGGUCUCCUGAAGAAGACUCUAGGCUGAAGGAUUAUAUAGAGAAAUAUGGAACUGGUUUUGGAUUGCUCUCCCUCAAAAUGCUGGUAUGCAUCACAUACAUACAUACAUACAUACACUUACUGUGAUAAUGGCAACGCUGAUAACAAAUGUGGUCAUGGCAAACAAGAUGACCAAUAUCUACCAACCAAACGGGUAUAUAUAUGAAAAGAAAACUUACCGAGAGUUAGGCAGAAGCAAACAUCUCGAUACACGCAGAGUUUCCAUUGCCAUUGCCAUCGACGUUAUUGCCAUGUAUAUAACGUCGGAUACACCUGAAGCUGCAUAUGAUUAAAACCACGGCAACAACAAAUAGGGUUGUCAGAACCAAUGGCUUCUCUGUAAAUUUAAUGGUUUCAGUCAGAGUAAAAUCUAUUUCUGGUGAUGAUGGUGGAAUAUUGUUGUAUCCGUUUCCCUCCAUAUUUUCUUGGUUCACCUUGGCUAAAUGGGGUUUAUGACUUUGUGUUAAAAGUAAGCCCCCAACGGGGUAUUUAUAGUGCUC
rnacentral:lncRNA from 1 species